GUUUACGCACACUGUUGACAAGCCAAGACGCCAAGAGUGCAAGUAGCUCAAGCCAAGCAAGGUCGAAGCCAGGUUGACCACGUGACCGUAUGUCAACGGACCGUCAAGGUCUGUUUCAUCGGACCGCUCUGCCAAUCUCUCGGCGUGGAGGAAACGUAAACAAAGGAAAUGUACUCUCUUGUCCAUUUUUUGGCGGAAAAUGAUGUCGCAGUUGUCCCUACCUGUUGGGUGUGCAAUGGCUGCACGGCAUGGCCACCCUACAAAUUAAAUCGGUUGAUGAUGGCAAUUAGAGAGCGUGAAGAGCCCUCGACUGACUGGGCCACAUUCUCCUGUCAGGUGAUGGCAUCAUGUUGUAAGUAUAGCAGGGUGUCUAGCAACCGGGAAAAAUCAGGGAUAUUGUCAAAAAUCAAGCCCAGUCAUGGAAAAUGAGCCGGAAAUGCCAUUGAGUGCCCUGAGCAAAGAGUUGAGAACCUUGGGGCAGAGAAAUAGGCAAUAAAUUCUGCUUAGAGCGGAGCGCGGACUCUGCUCACCCAAUGUAGAGUGUGCUAGAGCACUGCACGAGCCAGAAUUUCUAGACCCGGCCCGGUAGAGGCACGGCCCGGGUUUGGCCCGAGCCUAAUAGAAUAUUUAAUUUCCGGGCCCGGCCAGACUUCGCCUUGAAGAGACACGGCUCGGGCCGGGCCCGGACCCGACAGAAUUUUAGACAGAAGCUUGAGCCCAGCACGAGCCCGACAGAAUUUUUGUUUUCUUUAAUAUAAACCUGAGCUGGCCCAAUCCUCAUAGAUUAUAUACAUGAGCCCGAAAAAGUUGGCAGGCUUUAACCUUAAAGCUGUCUAACCAUAAAGCGAGCAUAUUUGAUUUAAUGAACAAAAGUUUAGGGUGAAAACAAGCUUGUGGUGGUUAAACAUUUAACUGGUGUGCUCGGCUUUCUUGUUUCAGUGACAUAUGAAGAUGCAAAGUACAAAGAAAAAAAAUUCGGAAGCGACGUCCAACCUAACAUUGAAUAAUGAAGAGCGGGAGAAGAGAAAAAGGAAGAGACUGCAGUAUACUCUUUCUUCAUUUGAGGAUGAGGACUUCUAUGACCAAGAUGAACGACGUAACACUCAGCCAGCCCCUCAACUUCCAGAACGUGCACCAGAGCCCAAGCAAAAACGCACACGUGAGCUGUGCGCACCUGCUUUAAACAGAAGGCAGAAAACAAUGAGCCAGCCAUCAUCGUGCAGGAAGCCGACGCCAAAUGGGCUGCUGCUGAAUCGGUCAGGCAUGCACCAGCUAGGAUCAAGAAAAUG